rnacentral:rRNA from 1 species
UAGAGUUUGAUCCUGGCUCAGAACGAACGCUGGCGGCGUGCUUAACACAUGCAAGUCGAGUGCGCGGUUGUAGCAAUACAACUGGCGCACGGCGCACGGGUGCGUAACACGUGGGCAAUCUGCCCUUCGAUGGGGAAUAACUCCGGGAAACCGAAGCUAAUUCCGCAUAACAUUCCUUGGACUUCGGUUCGAGGACUCAAAGCCGUAAGGCGUCGAAGGAGGAGCCCGCGCCCGAUUAGCUAGUUGGUGAGGUAACGGCUCACCAAGGCAAUGAUCGGUAGCUGGUCUGAGAGGAUGGCCAGCCACACUGGAACUGAGACACGGUCCAGACUCCUACGGGAGGCAGCAGUGGGGAAUCUUGCGCAAUGGGCGAAAGCCUGACGCACCGACGCCGCGUGGGGGAUGAAGCAUUUCGGUGUGUAAACCCCUUUCGACUGGGACGAAUACCUCGCAAGAGGGGUGACGGUACCAGUAGAAGAAGCCCCGGCUAACUACGUGCCAGCAGCCGCGGUAAGACGUAUGGGGCCAGCGUUGUUCGGAAUUACUGGGUGUAAAGGGUCCGUAGGCGGUGUGGCAAGUCGGGAGUGAAAUCUAUGGGCUUAACCCAUAGGCUGCUUCCGAAACUGCCGUGCUUGAGUGUGGGAGAGGCGCGUGGAAUUGCAGGUGUAGCGGUGAAAUGCGUAGAUAUCUGCAGGAACACCCGUGGCGAAAGCGGCGGCGCUGGACUACUACUGACGCUGAGGAACGAAAGCUAGGGGGAGCAAACUGGAUUAGAUACCCUGGUAGUCCUAGCCCUAG